rnacentral:rRNA from 1 species
GACGGGGGAUGCAAGCGUUAUCCGGAAUCACUGGGCGUAAAGCGUCCGUAGGUGGUGAUGCAAGUCACUGGUGCAAAACUCUGGCUCAACCGGAGGAAAGCCAGUGAAACUGCAUGACUAGAGUGUGGGAGAGGUAGAAGGAAUUCCCUGAGUAGCGGUGAAAUGCGUAGAUACAGGGAAGAGCACCGGAGGCGAAAGCGUUCUACUGGAACACAACUGACACUGAGAGACGAAAGCGAGUGGAGCUAAUGGG